rnacentral:misc_RNA from 1 species
AAUCACAGCAGGAUUUCUGGGAUCGUCUUCUGGUAUUCCCUGCUCCACCUUUCCAACAAGGUCAGCUCCAACAUCUGCUGCUUUAGUGUAGAUUCCACCACCAAGCUGAGCGAAAAGCGCAACAAACGAGGCACCGAAGCCAUACCCAACAAGGAGCAAAGGCAAGUCAGUAACUUUCAGUGAACCAGGUGAAUCUACUCCAAGACACACGUAAAAGGUAGAAUAAAGGAGAGCCACACCAAAUACAGCCAUGCCGACAACAACGAUGGCCGAAAAACCACCAGCCCGAACAGCAAUCUGCAAAGCCUCCCUUGCAGAACGCCUAGCAGCACUGGAUACUCGAACAUUUGCCCGAACAGAUACCCACAUCCCAACAUAUCCAGCAAUCCCUGAACAAAGAGCCCCUAGGAGAAAAGCAGCAACUGUGAUAUAUGCAGUUGUU